GACUCCGUGGCGCAAUGGUAGUCGCGUCAGAUUCCAGUUAAGGAAGUUCCUGAAGGUUAUCCGUUCAAGUCGGGUCGGGGUCA